AUCGCUUCUUGGCCUUUUUGGCUAGAUCAAGUAUAGUAUCUGUUUUUAUCAGUUUAAUAUCUGAUAUGUCCUCUAUCCAAGGACAAUACAUUAAAUGGAUUUUUGGAGCUGAGAGACGGAAUAGGCGCUUGCUCCAUCUACUCAACAUGUUGACCUGAUAUUGUAGUACCUCCAGGAACGGUACACAUACA
ensembl:snRNA U2 U2 spliceosomal RNA